rnacentral:lncRNA from 1 species
CUGCGCUUUAAUUAGGAUCUCCCCGAGGAUACUUCGGCUUUCUUCCACACCCGGGAGUUUGCAGAUUCCCUCUUAGUGCACCAGGCUGAUUAGAUUUCUUAAUUCCCUAAAACAUGCUGUCUCGAAGCCUAAUACCCUUGUAGGGAUGAGGUCUGUUUCUCUGCCUCUCCUCUCAUUACAGUGCUAAAUCCAGGCAGUGGUCUCCCUUACGGCACUUGCUUCUUCCCUGGCUCCGGACCCCUUUUUUGAUGGGGUAAAGAACAAGCCUGUGUCAACAAGAGACCGAAUAAGAAACCCUCAAGGAGGAGACGUGGGAGUUGCCUUCAUUCAUUGGAUAGAGUGCCGCAGCACAGGAUGCUCUGAGAGGCCAGCACCACACCCUCUUGACCAUGCUGUAGCCAUAAAUGUUCCAGAGGCAUCUGAGAAAACCACUGCAGAAUACACAGAGCACAGCUGCAUUUUGUCUUCUCCACCUACAACAGGGUUUGCUCUACCCUGCCAUAUCACAGGCUCCUGAAAAGACCAACUCACAGCACCACAGGAUGUGAUUAAGCCUUGGAGAAGAUUAAUUACCCACUUUCUUAGGAGUCGGUCUCUCCUCGCCACUCACUCAAGUUCCUUUACCCCCCACUAAGCCUCUGAAAGAAUCUAACAUCAUAAACAAGGAUCUCAUUAGCAACUUGAAUUCGGGCUGCAGAUCUUUUGUGAAGAUUUGGUUACAGAUGCUGCUUUAACUUCUGAGGAUUAUUCUUCAGCAUCCAGGGAGACUCCAGUUGCUCUCCUGGGAAAUGUUCUCUCACUUGAAUAACUCAUCUGUUCACCCAUUGGCAUAACUGCUGCCAGUUCCAAGCACCUGCUGAGGAGUGGACCCAGAUUAGGCCUCUGGCAGGGCUACAAAGAACACAUUUCAGUGUUGGACUUCCCAUUCCAUUUGCAUCUUCAGGGGAAGUUAAUGUCCCACUCAAGUUUCUCUCAGUUAGGGUGACAGGGAGAUGCAGUUCUUCAAAUGCUGUCCUCAAGUAGAGAGGGAGACCACAGAGCUCCGACUGGCUUGCCAGCCCAUGGAGCCAUUUUUUCUUUGGUGGUGGAUGCUCUCGGUGUGGCCUCUAGAGCUCCUUUCAUGUUCCUUUUCUCUCUGCAUUCCCACCGCUCUCCCCUCAGGUGGGUCCACAUCACCUCUCGCCUGGACCUCAGUCUGUCUCCUCUCUGCUAACCAGGGUAUCUUCACUUCCCUGCAGCUUUCACACAGCAGCCAGAUUAAUGUUCCUCAGUGCAGCUUUGAUCACACCACUGUGCCCAAACAAAAUCUUUCAUGGCCCCCAGCUACCCGGUGAUCAAAGUCCAGGGUCCUCACUCCAGCAUUAAAGAGCCUCUGUAUUGUGGAUCCCAAAUCAUCACAUGCCCCACCUCCAUCACCCAUCUGUUCCACUCCCACCUACCUCAACCUCAGUUCUAGUCCUUCAAGCUGCAGGCAGCAGCUCAUCGAGAAGGUCAUGAAAUCAAUGAAGUAUGUGACGAAAGCAUUUUAAAAUGAAAUUUAUAGCAAAAGAACAAAUAUGCAUAUGGCUUUCUAUAUAGCAGGCUCCAUUCCAAAUACUUUGCAUAGACUCACAUACUUCUCACACUGUCCCUAGGGAAAUAAGCACUCUUGCUAUCCCUGUUUUACAGAUAAGGACACAGACCCAGGGAGGUUAAAUAAGUUGUCCAAGGUGAUUAAUUCUGGCUUGAACCCAGAGAGCCUUGUAUCAGAAGCCACACUCUGCUAUACUCCCCAUGAUGUACUAUAUGGAAUAAAACUAUAUUCUAGAUUUUGUAAAACCAUAUGGAACAGAAUAGAAAAUUUAGGGCAUUCUGUAUAUACAAUGGUAAAUGUUCCAUGAAGGUCUGUUGGAGAUAAAUAUAAAUGUAUACACACAAGACUACAGUAGAAAAUGUGUAUUGUGCUGAGUACACAAGGUCAAGUGUUUGUCUU